rnacentral:snRNA from 1 species
UGUCCUCCAUAGGAGGUCUAUGUUGAGCAGAUUCUUUUUGGUAUUGGGUGGUGGAACUGGAGCGUGCUCCAUCCACUCCAUGCAUUGACCUGGUAUUGCAGUGCUUCCAGGACCAGUGC